CCCCAAUUCGAAUGCCCUCGUCCAAAUGCCCUUAGUGGGGUACCCCUACCCAGGCACCCCAAUUUGGGCAUUCACGUCCCAGCACCCCGAUUUGGGUGCUUGUAUCCAAACAUCCCAACUGGGGCACUCCUAUUCAGCCACCCCAAUUUGGGCACCUUCAUUCCAGCACCCCUAUUUUGGUCCCUCUGUCUAAGCAUUCCCACCGGGGCACCCCAAUUCCAGCACUCCUAUUUGGGUGCCCCCAUCCAGGCACCCCCAUAACAGGUGCCCUAACCUGGGGGUCUCUAUCUCAACACCUCCAUCUAAGUAUCCAUAUUGGGGCACCCCUAUAUCACCCCUGCGUGGGCAUCCCUGUAGGGGUACCCCCAUCUCAGCACCCCUAUUUGGCUGCCCUUAUCUGGGCACCCACCCCCCAGUCACCUCAAUUUGGGUGCCCCCAUCCAAAAAUCCCAACUGGGUCACUCCUUUGUGGGCACCCCUGUAGGUGUUUCCCCCUCCCUCCCCCCCCAGCACUCUUAUUUGGGUGCCUCCAUCCAAGCACUCAUCACGGGGCACCCACAUCACAACCCCCCCCCCCCGUCCAGGCACCCUUAUUGGGGCACCCCUAUAUUGACACCCCAAUUGCACACUCCUAAGUGCAGUGUGUGCCCAUAUCCAGGACACCUCAUCCAGGAACCCCCCACUCAGAUUCCCCCAUUUGGGCGCCCCUCUCCUGGCGCACACCAUCAGCACCCCCUUGAAGACCCCCCCCCCCCAUCCAGACACCCUUAUUGGAGCACCUCUACAUCGCUGCCCCAUUGCACACCCCUAUUUGGGUGCCCCUAUCUGCGCCCUGCCCCACAUGCCCUCAACCCUGCCUGCCCACACCCCCCUCCCACAACAAGGGCACCCAUAAAGGGGGUGCCAGGAUAGAGGGGGGUGGGUGGACGAAGGCUCAGCAGAGAACAACCCCCAUGUCAACAUAAAACCAUGACACCCCAGCUGGGAGUGCCAGGAUGGGGUACCCAAACGGAGAAGGGUGCCGGGAUGGAGACACCUGCGGAUGGGUGCUGGCGACGGCGGGGUGACCACAGGAUGGCACUCCCCGACCCCAUAUCCAUGGGGGCACUCUGACCCCCAUCCCUCCGCACCAUCCCAACCCUGGGAUGCGUAUCGGACUGAGACACGGAGCCACCGGGGUGCGGUGACAGCUCUGUAGGAUGACACCUAUGGGUGGCCCCACUGCCACCCCAUCCCCGGGCGCAGGCGGUGCCGACGAUGCUUCCGUCGCUGCGGCGGCCGCGCUUCCCCCCCCCUCCCCCUGCGUCUCCUCCGCGUUUCCUCCCGCCAUCUGCACCCUGUGCAUGGCCCCACGCCGGGCUGGGGGGGCCCCGAGGGCGGGAGACCCCCCCCCUUCAUGGCACCCCAGUGUGGGUGCAGCCCUAAGGGAGUGCUUACGGGGCUUGGAUAAUCCUCGUCGUGGUGACAGCACGAGCUGCAGGUGCCCAUCAGUUUGGGGGUCAGCACCCAAAGGGUGAGCCAGGGAGGGUGCCCCCACCUCGAGGGAGGUACCCCCAUCCUGGGGGUGAUGCCAGUGCUUUUGGGGUCUAUGGGGUGCUGCUAACAUCUGGGGUCUUUUGGGGUGCAAACCAUCCCACCCAGCAGCACCCCAUCACCUCCUCAGCAUGCUGCUGCUCACCCCAGCGCCCCACACCCCCACAGCUGCUCCCAGAGAUGGAGCAUCCCCUCGGGGUGCCACCCCCCCGCCCCCCCCAUGUGCCCCC
ensembl:lncRNA